UACGGAGGGUGCAAGCGUUGUCCGGAUUUAUUGGGUUUAAAGGGUGCGUAGGUGGAACUGUAAGUCUGAUUUGAAAGCAAGCGGCCUAACCGUUUGAUGUGGUUGGAAACUGUGGUUCUUGAAUGGGUUGGCGGUAGCCGGAAUGGGUCAUGUAGCGGUGAAAUGCAUAGAUAUGACCCGGAACACCGAUUGCGAAGGCAGGCUACUACGACUUGAUUGACACUGAGGCACGGAGAGCAUGGGUAGCGAACAGG
rnacentral:rRNA from 1 species